rnacentral:rRNA from 1 species
GACGAACGCUGGCGGCGUGCUUAACACAUGCAAGUCGAACGGAAAGGCCCUGCUUGCAGGGUACUCGAGUGGCGAACGGGUGAGUAACACGUGGGUGAUCUGCCCUGCACUUCGGGAUAAGCCUGGGAAACUGGGUCUAAUACCGGAUAGGAGCCAUUUUUAGUGUGAUGGUUGGAAAGUUUUUUCGGUGUAGGAUGAGCUGGCGGCCUAUCAGCUUGUUGGUGGGGUAAUGGCCUACCAAGGCGGCGACGGGUAGCCGGCCUGAGAGGGUGGACGGCCACAUUGGGACUGAGAUACGGCCCAGACUCCUACGGGAGGCAGCGGUGGGGAAUAUUGCACAAUGGGCGCAAGCCUGAUGCAGCGACGCCGCGUGGGGGAUGACGGCCUUCGGGUUGUAAACUCCUUUCGCUAGGGACGAAGCUUUUUGUGACGGUACCUAGAUAAGAAGCACCGGCUAACUACGUG